rnacentral:rRNA from 1 species
UACGUAGGCAGCAAGCGUUGUUCGGAAUUACUGGGCGUAAAGAGUGUGUAGGCGGUGCUCUAAGUUCGGUGUGAAAUCUCCUGCUUAACUGGGAGGGUGCGCCGGAAACUGGAGUGCUUGAGCGUGGGAGAGGAAAGCGGAAUUCCUGGUGUAGCGGUGAAAUGCGUAGAUAUGCGGAGGAACACCGAUGGCGAAGGCAAUCCCCUGGGCCUGCACUGACGCUCAUGCACGAAGGCGUGGGGAGCAAACAGG